UGGGGAAUAUUGCACAAUGGGGGAAACCCUGAUGCAGCCAUGCCGCGUGUGUGAAGAAGGCCUUCGGGUUGUAAAGCACUUUCAGUGGGGAGGAAAGGUGUGUGGCGAAUACCCGCGCACUGUGACGUUACCCACAGAAGAAGCACCGGCUAACUCCGUGCCAGCAGCCGCGGUAAUACGGAGGGUGCAAGCGUUAAUCGGAAUGACUGGGCGUAAAGCGCACGCAGGCGGUCUGUUAAGCCAGAUGUGAAAGCCCCGGGCUCAACCUGGGAACUGCAUUUGGAACUGGCAGGCUAGAGUCUUGGAGAGGGGGGUAGAAUUUCCGGUGUAGCGGUGAAAUGCGUAGAGAUCGGAAGGAAUACCAGUGGCGAAGGCGGCCCCCUGGCCAAAGACUGACGCU
rnacentral:rRNA from 1 species